CAAGUUUCAGCGCAGAGAUGCUCAAGGAAGCCUUCUUCAAAAUAAACUGUACAAACUACCACACUGUAGUGGGCGGGAUGGCCAAGGUUUUCCCUGAAAUACCAUUGGCUGAGCGAGAAGAAAUCACCCAGGUUUUGCUGGCGUUCCUGAUGAGAUCUGCCCAAGUAAUCAACGAACCAGAAUGCAGACAGGGAAUUGACAGUGACACCGUAUGGCUCCAAAUAAACCUGGGGCCAUUUUCCCAACUCACAACUUACUCUGACCUGAAAGUCUUCAA